rnacentral:rRNA from 1 species
AUGCAACGCGAAGAACCUUACCUGGUCUUGACAUCCACGGAAGUUUUCAGAGAUGAGAAUGUGCCUUCGGGAACCGUGAGACAGGUGCUGCAUGGCUGUCGUCAGCUCGUGUUGUGAAAUGUUGGGUUAAGUCCCGCAACGAGCGCAACCCUUAUCCUUUGUUGCCAGCGGUCCGGCCGGGAACUCAAAGGAGACUGCCAGUGAUAAACUGGAGGAAGGUGGGGAUGACGUCAAGUCAUCAUGGCCCUUACGACCAGGGCUACACACGUGCUACAAUGGCGCAUACAAAGAGAAGCGACCUCGCGAGAGCAAGCGGACCUCAUAAAGUGCGUCGUAGUCCGGAUUGGAGUCUGCAACUCGACUCCAUGAAGUCGGAAUCGCUAGUAAUCGUGGAUCAGAAUGCCACGGUGAAUACGUUCCCGGGCCUUGUACACACCGCCCGUCACACCAUGGGAGUGGGUUGCAAAAGAAGUAGGUAGCUUAACCUUCGGGAGGGCGCUUACCACUUUGUGAUUCAUGACUGGGGUGAAGUCGUAACAAGGUAACCGUAGGGGAACCUGCGGUUGGAUCACCUCCUU